rnacentral:lncRNA from 1 species
CUGGCUUUAUCUCAUUCAUAAAAAAAAUAGAUAUUCUAUAGUAGCAUAAUAAUAUCGUAAUAACAGGUAAACUUUGGAUCAAUUUUAAUAACCUAGACAACACUCCGUAAGUGGAAGCAGUUGAAUUUUUUCUUAAGUACUUUUUAUCAAUCCAUUUCCAUUUGAGCUUGCUGCAAAUUCAAAUUUGUUUUUUCUUUUUUGGUAAACAAUUCAAAUUUAUAUUGAAAAUGUUCUUCAUUCCUCUAUUCCAUUCAAACAUAUGAAAUACAUUACACAUAUAGAAUUGACUAAAAUUUCAAUAUGUAAUUGACUAAACAGAAUAUAUUCCAUC